ensembl:lncRNA
CCCCUUUGAAACCUCCAGCUGUGGCAUCCUGCUUUACCUGCUGAGCUGGAGGAGCCUCUGCUAUCAGGUAUCUUCCCCCGGUCCAGCUCAGGUCUCCUCCCCUUUGAUCGGCCGAUGGGGAUCCUUCCAUUUCUCACGGUAAGCAGUUCUGGCAGCUCAGCCCCAUGCACCUCAGCUCGCUCCCGAUCCUAUUACUGCUUUCCAAUAUCCUCUGCAGGAAUGGGGUCACCAGCACUAAGGCUGGCGCUUUCCGUGAGGGAAGGAUGGAGCCCUUCGGAGUCACAUUGAGUGAAAUAAAUAAAACGCAGCAGCAAAGACAAAUAGUUUCCAGGCAUUGUGUUGGCAUUUUGGCCUAAUGACUGAUUAAUCUGAACCGGAGUCUCAUUACAGAUUCACGGAUCGAUGGGAUCGGAUCGUUAGCUCCGGCACCCCCUCCUGCAAUCAGCAGUGCAGGCGGCAGCGCUGCCGGGGGAUGGAUUAAAGGCUCAGCUGGAGCAGGGAGCCGGCAGCAGGAGGGAAAGCAGGGAGAGCAGGGUUAGGAAAGGCACCGUCACCGUGCUGAGGGCCAACAAAAUGGCCAUGCUGCGGUCUGGUCCCAGCACGGAUUUGCUCUGCAGACGCAUCUUUCAGCCAUGAGGGACACGGAAAGCAUCUUUCAGCCGUGAGGGACACCCAACAGGGACAGCCCCGGGGGAUGGCACCUGUAUCCCAGCCACGGUGAGCGAAAAACCCCAACGGAGGUAUAGGCGGAAACACCACCCAUCACCCUGCAGACCCCCAGGAGGAGACCCCGCAGGAAACCAGAAUUUUCCAAGCAGCCCCACCCCCGGCAGCACUGGGCUUUCCUAGCGCGUUUGAGGACCCAGAGGAGCAGUCGGGCUCCUGCACGCUCCCGGGGGCUGAGAGCAGGAGGCACGAGGGUGACACGAGGAUGAGCCUUCCACCAGCACCACAGCACAGGGCGGUGCCAAGUGACCCAUCCCUGGGUGAGAGCAGCAAUAACAAGAGCAGGUUUCCAGAGCAAGGAGGUCUGACCCGACCCCGAAGGCGAUGUGCAUCCCAUGCAGCCGUUAAUCCCUCCCACUCCCACCACUGCCUAACGCCAGGUCAGUGCUUGCAUACCUGCAUGCUUUAAACUGGCAUCGCUGGGCUGGGGAUCACGGCAUUGCACUCCCACACCCCCAGCUGCUCACCAGCCCCACUGCUGAGCCUGCACAACUCCUUCCAUUAGAAGCCAUAAUUAAGGUCAAAAACUAUUUCUAUUACAACCUUCCUUUCC